UUUGCCCUGCCCAUGCUCGUGAUUGGAACAACGUCCUUGAACCGUAAGCUCGAUGCUCAGGGACCCUAGCCCAGAUGGUGGCCGACAGGCCUUUACUGGAAGUCGAAAGCUGCCGGGCGCGUCCCGCCUUGGUUCCUCGCAGUUCAAAGGAACUGUCCCGUACACGGCAUUCACGGUGGGGCAUUU
rnacentral:other from 1 species